AAAAAGUUUCUUUCAUAUGUAGCCUUAAUAAAAUAAAAAAAACAAAUGGGAUCUAAAUUUGUCACGAAUGCGAACUUUUAAUCAAAUAUAAAGUUAAGAUGCAUUUAAAAGUUCAGCUUGCAGUACAACUGUAGAAAACACAGAUAUGAUUUCGUUUUACAUGGGAAAAACCUUCAUGACGUACACUCGACACAAAAAGUUUGAAAUACAGAACAUCAAAAGUUAAAGUGCACAAGAUUAAGAGGGUCGAAAAAAAGGACGUACAAAGAACACCCAAUAGAGUCUAAACAGAACAGUUAAAAGAGUCUAAACAGAACAUAAAAAAGAAUGUAAACAGAACAGUCAAAAGAGUCUAAUUAAAACAGAAAACCAAAAAAGGAUGUAGACAGAAAAGUCAAAAUGGUCUCACCAAAAUGGUUAAAAGUUUCUUAGACAGAGUUUAGAC
rnacentral:lncRNA from 1 species